GAUGAAGAACGUAGCGAAAUGCGAUAAGUAAUGUGAAUUGCAGAAUUCAGUGAAUCAUCGAAUCUUUGAACGCACAUUGCGCCCCCUGGUAUUCCGGGGGGCAUGCCUGUCCGCGUCAUUACAACCCUCAAGCUCAGCUUGGUGUUGGGCCCCGCCGCCCCGGCGGGCCCUAAAGUCAGUGGCGGUGCCGUCCGGCUCCGAGCGUAGUAAUUCUUCUCGCUCUGGAGGUCCGGUCGUGUGCUCGCCAGCAACCCCCAAUUUUUUUCAGGUUGACCUCGGAUCAGGUAGGGAUACCCGCUGAACUUAAGCAUAUCAAUAAGCGGAGGA
rnacentral:misc_RNA from 1 species